CAGCAGCCGCGGUAAUACGGAGGGUGCAAGCGUUAAUCGGAAUUACUGGGCGUAAAGCGCACGCAGGCGGUCUGACAAGUCAGAUGUGAAAUCCCCGGGCUUAACCUGGGAACUGCAUUUGAAACUGUCAGGCUGGAGUCUUGUAGAGGGGGGUGGAAUUCCAGGUGUAGCGGUGAAAUGCGUAGAGAUCUGGAGGAAUACCGGUGGCGAAGGCGGCCCCCUGGACAAAGACUGACGCUCAGGUGCGAAAGCGUGGGGAGCAAACAGGAUUAGAUACCCCGGAGUCCCUGUCUCUUAUACA
rnacentral:rRNA from 1 species